rnacentral:lncRNA from 1 species
AAAAUAUUCAUAUUAAGGUUUCUUAAUUCAUAUCUACAGUUGAAUUUGUAUUUAUUUACCAUUUACACAAAAGGUAUCAAUCAACACAAUGAACAGUACCAUGUUUUAUAUAUACAAUGCAGUGUUUUUUUAUUUAUUAAUGAGACAUUCAUUUUCAUCAUUUGUACAAAUAAAACAUUUGUCAAAUAUAGCUAAGAAGCCUUAUCAUUGUCUUCC